rnacentral:rRNA from 1 species
UGCUGUGAGCUCGAUGAGUAGGGCGGGACACGUGGUAUCCUGUCUGAAUAUGGGGGGACCAUCCUCCAAGGCUAAAUACUCCUGACUGACCGAUAGUGAACCAGUACCGUGAGGGAAAGGCGAAAAGAACCCCGGCGAGGGGAGUGAAAAAGAACCUGAAACCGUGUACGUACAAGCAGUGGGAGCACCCUUUGGGGUGUGACUGCGUACCUUUUGUAUAAUGGGUCAGCGACUUAUAUUCUGUAGCAAGGUUAACCGAAUAGGGGAGCCGGAGGGAAACCGAGUCUUAAUUGGGCGUUAAGUUGCAGGGUAUAGACCCGAAACCCGGUGAUCUAGCCAUGGGCAGGUUGAAGGUUGGGUAACACUAACUGGAGGACCGAACCGACUAAUGUUGAAAAAUUAGCGGAUGACCUGUGGCUGGGGGUGAAAGGCCAAUCAAACCGGGAGAUAGCUGGUUCUCCCCGAAAGCUAUUUAGGUAGCGCCUCGUGAAUUCAUCUCCGGGGGUAGAGCACUGUUUCGGCUAGGGGGCCAUCCCGGCUUACCAACCCGAUGCAAACUGCGAAUACCGGAGAAUGUUAUCACGGGAGACACACGGCGGGUGCUAACGUCCGUCGUGAAGAGGGAAACAACCCAGACCGCCAGCUAAGGUCCCAAAGUCAUGGUUAAGUGGGAAACGAUGUGGGAAGGCCCAGACAGCCAGGAUGUUGGCUUAGAAGCAGCCAUCAUUUAAAGAAAGCGUAAUAGCUCACUGGUCGAGUCGGCCUGCGCGGAAGAUGUAACGGGGCUAAACCAUGCACCGAAGCUGCGGCAGCGACGCUGAUGCGUUGUUGGGUAGGGGAGCGUUCUGUAAGCCUG